AGAACCCUUCUAUGUUGGUGAUUGUCUUAUGUUUUGAUCCAACAGAUUAGUUUCGGGAGGUCCACGUCGAACGGAUGAGUGGAGGCCGCUGAGCUUGCUCGUGGCGGAACCACAGAGGCCGAAGCAGACCACCCACCUGCGCGAGCAGGUUCAAAACUUUGGUGACACGGCGGUGCGGGGUUUUU
rnacentral:other from 1 species